AGUGCGUGUCCAGGCCUGAGUUGAGGCAAAGGACAAUUGGCAGUCGUUUAGAAGCAUCUGGAAGAGUCGGUUGACAAGAAGCGUGCGUGCGAGUGGAUUUACGAGGUCUUCGGAGUAUAAUACAUGUGUAUAACUGUUGUGUGUGAAAUAAAGUGAAUUAUUUGAAUUUCCGAAUCCCUCCUAUAUCUUUACAAUAUAUUAUUGCAUCAAUUGAAGCAAGAUGAAGUUUGCAGAACAUCUGUCUGCUCACAUUACGCCUGAAUGGCGUAAGCAAUACAUAAGCUAUGAGGAAAUGAAGGCAAUGCUCUAUACUGCUGGAGAAGAAGCACCGUCAGCUGAAAGUGUUGUUCGUGAUAUUUCGAUCGAUAGAAAGUUCUGAUCAAACGCAAAUUUUGCGUAUCAUGGGUGAAGAAGAAAAUGGUGUACUCAAUAGAGGUAAACGUAAAGUUGGUGGUAAACGACAAGCUACUAGUAAAGAAGACAAACGGGCAUUGCUGAAAGAAGAAACAGUUGAUAUAGAUAUAUCAAAUGCCAGCUAAAAAUAGUUCAAUUGUUUUAUUAUCAGAACCUACGCAAAGCAAUAUUAUUCCAAAUUUAAUGUAAUUUUUAUAUAGGCAAUAGUUUGCCAGAAAAAGUGCAGGUCGUACUUUAUGAACAAUUAAUAUUUCCUUUGUGCAUCAAAAUUGAAGAUUGUGAGGCUGAACUGAACAAGUGCCUUGUAUAUAUCCUGUUUAUUAAACUAUGAAUUUAAUAACUUAGUGUAAAGAUAUAGAAGGGAUUCGGAAAUUCAAAUAGUUCACUUUGUUCAACACACAACAGUUAUACACAUAUGUUAUACUCUGAAGACCUCGUAAACCUACUCGCACGCUCGCUUGUUGUCAACCGACUCUUCCAGAUGCUUCUUAACGACGGCUACAAGAGCUGCUUCAGGAGCUGCGGAUUUUAAUGCUAAAGUCUGGGAUGCAAUUAAAGGAGAAGAAAUUCAUUCGUUUCAACACAAACAUAUUGUAAAGUCUGUCAACUUCAGCAUUGAUUCUAAUUAUUUGUGCACAAGUUCUAAUGAGAAACUUGUGCGAAUUUAUGAUCUUAACAAACCAGAUGCAGCACCACAGGUAUUCUCGGGUCAUAAAAUUGGCAUCAGGCAUGUUACGUUUUUCAAUAAUGAUACUGCAUUAAUUACCUGUGGCGAUGACAAAACAUUGAGAGUUUGGGACAGAAAGAGUGGUCAAGAAGUAAGAAGGUUAGAUUUUCCAGCAAUUCCAAAUUCUAUGGAAGUGUCAAGAGAUGGGAACAUUAUUACCACAACUCACUCCAACAUAGUCACUUUUUGGAAUAGCAGAGAGUAUGUCCAUUUCUUUCUGUUUUACCAUAACGCGUACAGCAUAUCUUAAAAUAUAAAAUAAAUGAAGUCAGCAAAACAAGUUCAAGGUCAGUGUGUAAUGUACCUGCUUGUACACCUGUUGGUACAGACACAUUAAUAUCCUGAACAUGGAUUUUCUACAGAACCUCCAAGUUAACCUUGUCCCACUAGGAAGUACUUUCCAGUGUAUAUUUUACAUUUUAAUAGAUUGUAUAUCUUUUAUUCAUGUUUGCUCUCCAAAAUACUAGAAAAAGCAAUAUACGCCCGACUAAAACCAAUAAUAGAGAAGGAAAAACUAAUACCAGACCAUCAAUUUGGAUUCAGAAAUAAACACUCCGCCAUAGAAGAAAUGCACAGGCUUGUCAACGAAAUAAUACA